rnacentral:rRNA from 1 species
UGGAAGCGUCUGGAAAGGCGCGCGAUACAGGGUGACAGCCCCGUACACAAAAAUGCACAUGCUGUGAGCUCGAUGAGUAGGGCGGGACACGUGGUAUCCUGUCUGAAUAUGGGGGGACCAUCCUCCAAGGCUAAAUACUCCUGACUGACCGAUAGUGAACCAGUACCGUGAGGGAAAGGCGAAAAGAACCCCGGCGAGGGGAGUGAAAAAGAACCUGAAACCGUGUACGUACAAGCAGUGGGAGCACGCUUAGGCGUGUGACUGCGUACCUUUUGUAUAAUGGGUCAGCGACUUAUAUUCUGUAGCAAGGUUAACCGAAUAGGGGAGCCGAAGGGAAACCGAGUCUUAACUGGGCGUUAAGUUGCAGGGUAUAGACCCGAAACCCGGUGAUCUAGCCAUGGGCAGGUUGAAGGUUGGGUAACACUAACUGGAGGACCGAACCGACUAAUGUUGAAAAAUUAGCGGAUGACUUGUGGCUGGGGGUGAAAGGCCAAUCAAACCGGGAGAUAGCUGGUUCUCCCCGAAAGCUAUUUAGGUAGCGCCUCGUGAAUUCAUCUCCGGGGGUAGAGCACUGUUUCGGCAAGGGGGUCAUCCCGACUUACCAACCCGAUGCAAACUGCGAAUACCGGAGAAUGUUAUCACGGGAGACACACGGCGGGUGCUAACGUCCGUCGUGAAGAGGGAAACAACCCAGACCGCCAGCUAAGGUCCCAAAGUCAUGGUUAAGU